GACGAACGCUGGCGGCACGCUUAACACAUGCAAGUCGAACGAGAGAAGAGAAGCUUGCUUUUCUGAUCUAGUGGCGGACGGGUGAGUAACACGUGAGCAAUCUGCCUUUCAGAGGGGGAUACCGAUUGGAAACGAUCGUUAAUACCGCAUAACAUAAUUGAACCGCGUGAUUUGAUUAUCAAAGAUUUAUCGCUGAAAGAUGAGCUCGCGUCUGAUUAGCUAGUUGGUAAGGUAACGGCUUACCAAGGCGACGAUCAGUAGCCGGACUGAGAGGUUGAUCGGCCACAUUGGGACUGAGACACGGCCCAGACUCCUACGGGAGGCUGCAGUGGGGAAUAUUGCACAAUGGAGGAAACUCUGAUGCAGCGAGGCCGCGUGAGGGAAGAAGGUUUUAGGAUUGUAAACCUCUGUCUUCAGGGACGAAAAAAGACGGUACCUGAGGAGGAAGCUCCGGCUAACUACGUG
rnacentral:rRNA from 1 species